rnacentral:rRNA from 1 species
CCUACGGGUGACAGCAGUGAGGAAUAUUGGUCAAUGGGCGAAAGCCUGAACCAGCCACGUCGCGUGCAGGAAGACGGUCCUAUGGAUUGUAAACCUCUUUUGCCGGGGAGCAAAAAUCGAUACGUGUAUCGCUUUGAGAGUACCGUACGAAAAAGCAUCGGCUAACUCCGUGCCAGCAGCCGCGGUACUACGGAGGAUCCGAGCGUUAUCCGGAUUUAUUGGGUUUAAAGGGUGCGCAGGCGGUUUGUUAAGUCAGGGGUAAAAUUUCGGAGUUCAACCCCGACACGCCUUUGAAACUGGUGAGCUAGAGUGGGGGAGAGGUAGGCGGAAUGCGUGGUGUAGCGGUGAAAUGCAUAGAUAUCACGAAGAACUCCGAUUGCGAAGGCAGCAUACCGGCGCCCAACUGACGCUCAGGCACGAAAGCGUGGGGAGCGAACAGGAUUAGAUACCCUUGUAGUC